rnacentral:rRNA from 1 species
CAAACGACUCUCGGCAACGGAUAUCUUGGCUUACGCAUCGAUGAAGAACGUAGCAAAAUGCGAUACUUGGUGUGAAUUGCAGAAUCCCGUGAAUCAUCGAGUUUUUGAACGCAAGUUGCGCCCAAAGCCUUUUGGCCGAGGGCACGUCUGCCUGGGCGUCACAU